rnacentral:RNase_P_RNA from 1 species
GUGAUGGGUCGCCCCACCGCGGCAAGGGAGGCAACUCCGGCGACGAGGAAAGUCCGGGCAACGCAGAGCACCCUGCUUCCUAACGGGAAGGACUGGCAAGCGUAACGUGAACCAGGACAGCCAGUGCCACAGAAAACUACCGCCUACGUCGCCUUCGGGGGGCCGGUAAGGGUGAAAAGGUGCGGUAAGAGCGCACCAGCGGCCGGGCAACCGUGUCGGCUGGGUAAACCUCAGGGGUUGAAAGACCAAAUAAGCUGGUACGCGGGCCGCAAGGCCCGCACCGGGCGGCUCGUCCGGCGCCAGCGGGUAGGUUGAUGGAGCCUUUCCGCGAGGACUGGCCUAGAUAAAUGGUGGGGCCGUGGCAACACGGACAAAACCCGGCUUACAGACUCAUCACCGGC